UAAAGUGGCGUACGGGUGAGUAACACGUGGAUUAUCUGCCCUGGAGUGGGGAAUAACGCUGGGAAACCGGCGCUAAUACCGCAUAUUCCCGAGAGGGGAAAGCAGCAAUGCGCUCGAGGAGGAGUCCGCGGCCGAUUAGCUAGUUGGCAGGGUAAAAGCCUACCAAGGCAUUGAUCGGUAGCCGGCCUGAGAGGGCACACGGCCACACUGGCACUGAAACACGGGCCAG
rnacentral:rRNA from 1 species